UAAUACAUGCAAGUCGAACGAGUUCUGAUUAUUUAAAGGUGCUUGCAUCUUGAUUUAAUUUUGAACGAGUGGCGGACGGGUGAGUAACACGUGGGUAACCUGCCCUUAAGUGGGGGAUAACAUUUGGAAACAGAUGCUAAUACCGCAUAAAUCCAAGAACCGCAUGGUUCUUGGCUGAAAGAUGGCGUAAGCUAUCGCUUUUGGAUGGACCCGCGGCGUAUUAGCUAGUUGGUGAGGUAACGGCUCACCAAGGCAAUGAUACGUAGCCGAACUGAGAGGUUGAUCGGCCACAUUGGGACUGAGACACGGCCCAAACUCCUACGGGAGGCAGCAGUAGGGAAUCUUCCACAAUGGACGCAAGUCUGAUGGAGCAACGCCGCGUGAGUGAAGAAGGCUUUCGGGUCGUAAAACUCUGUUGUUGGAGAAGAAUGGUCGGCAGAGUAACUGUUGUCGGCGUGACGGUAUCCAACCAGAAAGCCACGGCUAACUACGUGCCAGCAGCCGCGGUAAUACGUAGGUGGCAAGCGUUAUCCGGAUUUAUUGGGCGUAAAGCGAGCGCAGGCGGUUUUUUAAGUCUGAUGUGAAAGCCCUCGGCUUAACCGAGGAAGUGCAUCGGAAACUGGGAAACUUGAGUGCAGAAGAGGACAGUGGAACUCCAUGUGUAGCGGUGAAAUGCGUAGAUAUAUGGAAGAACACCAGUGGCGAAGGCGGCUGUCUGGUCUGUAACUGACGCUGAGGCUCGAAAGCAUGGGUAGCGAACAGGAUUAGAUACCCUGGUAGUCCAUGCCGUAAACGAUGAAUGCUAGGUGUUGGAGGGUUUCCGCCCUUCAGUGCCGCAGCUAACGCAUUAAGCAUUCCGCCUGGGGAGUACGACCGCAAGGUUGAAACUCAAAGGAAUUGACGGGGGCCCGCACAAGCGGUGGAGCAUGUGGUUUAAUUCGAAGCAACGCGAAGAACCUUACCAGGUCUUGACAUCUUUUGAUCACCUGAGAGAUCAGGUUUCCCCUUCGGGGGCAAAAUGACAGGUGGUGCAUGGUUGUCGUCAGCUCGUGUCGUGAGAUGUUGGGUUAAGUCCCGCAACGAGCGCAACCCUUAUGACUAGUUGCCAGCAUUUAGUUGGGCACUCUAGUAAGACUGCCGGUGACAAACCGGAGGAAGGUGGGGAUGACGUCAAAUCAUCAUGCCCCUUAUGACCUGGGCUACACACGUGCUACAAUGGAUGGUACAACGAGUUGCGAGACCGCGAGGUCAAGCUAAUCUCUUAAAGCCAUUCUCAGUUCGGACUGUAGGCUGCAACUCGCCUACACGAAGUCGGAAUCGCUAGUAAUCGCGGAUCAGCACGCCGCGGUGAAUACGUUCCCGGGCCUUGUACACACCGCCCGUCACACCAUGAGAGUUUGUAACACCCGAAGCCGGUGGCGUAACCCUUUUAGGGAGCGAGCCGUCUAAGGUGGGACAAAUGAUUAGGGUGAA
rnacentral:rRNA from 1 species